UCCGCCCUUUUUCUCUGCGACGUGGCCGGCUUCUUCUGCCCAGAGAGCAUGUCACUUCCGCCAAAUCUCUGACCUGCUGCUAGGAUCGCGACGAGAACUGGAACCCGAGGUCCCCGCGCGGUCCGGGCCUCGCGCCCUGAGGGGAAGAGCGGCCCGGCCCAGCGUGCUGGGGUGGAGACCUUGACUCCAGUCCCUUCCCUAGCCAUGACGGACGGGAUUCUAGGGAAGGCAGCCACAAUGGAGAUUCCCAUCCACGGAAAUGGCGAAGCUGGGCAGCUUCCUGAAGACGAUGGGCUGGAGCAGGACCUCCAGCAGGUGAUGGUGUCAGGACCCAACCUCAAUGAAACUAGCAUUGUGUCUGGUGGCUAUGGGGGCUCUGGUGACGGACUCAUCCCCACAGGGUCUGGCCGACAUCCAUCUCACAGCACGUCACCCUCUGGCCCUGGUGACGAGGUGGCCCGGGGCAUCGCUGGAGAAAAGUUUGACAUCGUCAAGAAAUGGGGCAUCAACACAUAUAAGUGCACAAAGCAGCUGUUAUCAGAGAGAUUUGGCCGAGGCUCCCGGACUGUGGAUCUGGAGCUAGAGCUGCAGAUUGAGUUGCUGCGUGAGACGAAGCGCAAGUAUGAAAGUGUCCUGCAGCUGGGCCGGGCACUGACAGCCCACCUCUACAGCCUGUUGCAGACCCAGCAUGCACUAGGUGAUGCCUUUGCUGACCUCAGCCAGAAGUCCCCAGAGCUUCAGGUGCCUCAGCCAAAACAAAGAGGGUGGGGGUACUGGGCCCUGGUCCUUCCAGGCAGGCUUUCCUCAGCCUCCCUCCCUCCCUCCCUCCUGCAGCCCCCAGGGAGAACCCCUCUGGGGUGCGCCCAGUCCUGCCCCCAGCAUCACUCACCUAUGGAGGCAGCCUAAGGGAGGAAUUUGGCUAUAAUGCAGAGACACAAAAGCUGCUGUGCAAGAAUGGGGAGACGCUGCUAGGGGCUGUGAACUUCUUUGUCUCUAGCAUCAACACACUGGUCACCAAGACCAUGGAAGACACACUCAUGACUGUCAAACAGUAUGAGGCUGCCAGGCUGGAAUAUGAUGCCUACCGGACAGACUUAGAAGAGCUGAGCCUAGGGCCCCGGGAUGCAGGGACUCGUGGUCGACUUGAGAGUGCCCAGGCCACUUUCCAGACCCAUCGGGACAAAUAUGAGAAGCUGCGGGGAGAUGUGGCCAUCAAGCUGAAGUUCCUGGAAGAAAACAAGAUCAAGGUGAUGCACAAGCAGCUGCUGCUCUUCCACAAUGCCGUGUCUGCCUACUUCGCUGGGAACCAGAAACAGCUGGAGCAGACUCUUCAGCAGUUCAACAUCAAGCUGCGGCCUCCAGGAGCCGAGAAGCCUUCCUGGUUAGAGGAGCAGUGAGCAGCUCCCAGCCCAACUUGGCUAUCAAGAAGGACACUGGGCGGGGCAGCCCCAGGGUGGAGGAGAUUGGACAUGGGAUGUCCUUUGCCACUUACUUGCUGGCUUGGGCUCGUUUUUUCUGACUGGGGUCUGACACCAGUUUUGCCCACUGCUGUGGUCUGAAGAGGCCCGUAGGCCCGUAGGCCCAGAAGCUGCUGUCCUGCCCUUUAUCUUCCUGGCCACUGGGCUUCAUUCCCAGAUCUUUUCCUUUCACUCCACAGCCAAAGGCUAUGACAAAACACUCCCUGGCCAAUGGCAUCACUCCUCAGGCCUAUCCCCAGCUCUUGGGAUGUGCCCCUGACCAAAGACAGGACCUCAAAAGGUUCUGUCAGCCAAUGGCAGCUCUUCUUGGGCUCCUCUGGGCCAAUAGUGUUGCCUCCAGUACCCUUUGUUCCCUCCUCAAUGUGUGUCCAUUGCAGAGAAGGGGACUGGGACCAAAGGGGUGGGGAUAAUGGGGAGCUGCAUUUGUGGCCCUGCAUCUGAAUGGGCCCUCCCCUCAUCCACCCACCCAGUUGAACUGUGCUUAGAACCCCAGAAGACUGGGUUCUAGCACUAGGAAUAAACCUUUCAUAAAAGCAGGCCCAGUGAGGUCAAUUUGUGGGGGACUAGAGGAGGGUGGAUUGGUAAGAAAUGCCCAGUAAUCUUGCAUUCAGUUCCUAUGAAUUCAGAAGAGCUGCAGCUAAGUUUGAGAAGCUGCCGAAGGCCUGAUGCCCCUCACUUUCAGAGCCAACGCUUUAUUUUUCUCUUCCCGUUAGCACCAAGGCAAUCUAUGUGUCUGAAGAGCAUAGGGUCCAGAGGGGGUUGGGCCGGCUAACCAUCAUGCAUUCAAUCAUACAGCCGAUGUUUACUGAGUGCUUUUAUUUGCCAGGCACUGCGUUAGGCCCUGGGGAAACAUCAGUGAAUAAAACGCAGUCCCUGCUCACAGUGCUUAAGGCCUAGUGGGGGAUAGAGACAAGUAACCAGGCAACUACAAUACAAUGAGAAAUGCUAGGAUACAAGAUGCAGUGGGAGCACCAGAUAAGGGGCAUCUAGCUUAGACUGAGGUAGGGAUGGCGAUGCCAGUUUAAAAGCUGAGAUCUGAAAAGUAAGUAGCGAACAGCUGAGGAAGAAAGGCCAAUGCUCAUAAAGUCUGAAUAAGAAUUCAGUCCAGAAUGAAAAAUUAAGUGGGUGAGAGACAAGAGGCAGACUUGAUCUUUGGAGAAAUGGAACUAAGAAACCUCUUAGAGGUCUGGCAGCACGGGAGAAGCGAAGUGUAGAGAACAUACUUCCUGGACUAUUGGGUAGCCUAGUGACCCUUGCUUGUCACUCUAAGCAUGAACCCUGCCUGAGCUCCUUCACAUCCAGUGAGUAGCUACCGCAGAGAUAAAGGCAUUCUCACCGCACCUGCUGCAACCUGCACUGCUCUUGUUGAAGUCAAACCUUAAUUGUAUAAGAAAUCACAAGAAAACUCCCAGCAGCACUUUAGACAGGGCUUGAGUGCGGUCAACUACAGGUCCAAAGACAACUGCAGACUUCUUCAGCAUUCUGUCCCCUCUAGAGGGUGGAGAAAGGGGACCAACCCAGUCAGCAGGUUCCCACAGCACAGGGUGCACACCACUCUGACUUGACUCUUUGUCAGUGAUAACUGCAAUCCCCAGCCAGGCUUCUGGGGCUUUAAUUAGCCUUUAUGUAGUCAGCUGUCUGCCUUGAUUAUUAGAGGUGCUGGUUCUCUUAUUAGCCCCCUACUUUAUGGGCCACUGAGGAUUUUUGUUGUAAGGGCAUUGAAUCUUCAAAUGGUUGGAGACAGAACCUGAAAGCAGAGCCCAAACAUGGCUCCACCAUUUUCUAGCUGAUUAGGAUUAAUGCCUGGGGAACAUAAGCUCGCUCCGCUCCUUCCGUUGUAAAGCUGCUAAUAAAAGCAGCUACCGAUUACGGUUAUGCGUAUUAAAUGAGAUAAUGUAUGUAAAGUGAUUAGCUCUGUCUGGCACGUAAUAAACACUCAGUCCCUGUUAA